GAUCCUGGCUCAGGAUGAACGCUAGCUACAGGCUUAACACAUGCAAGUCGAGGGGCACCAGAAAGAAAGCUUGCUUUCUUUGCUGGCGACCGGCGCACGGGUGAGUAACACGUAUCCAACCUGCCCUUUACUCGGGGAUAGCCUUUCGAAAGAAAGAUUAAUACCCGAUGGGAUAAUGAUUCCGCAUGGUUUCAUUAUUAAAGGAUUCCGGUAAAGGAUGGGGAUGCGUUCCAUUAGGUUGUUGGUGAGGUAACGGCU
rnacentral:rRNA from 1 species